rnacentral:rRNA from 1 species
GAUUAAGUUAUUAAGGGCGCACGGUGGAUGCCUUGGCACUAGAAGCCGAUGAAGGACGUUACUAACGACGAUAUGCUUUGGGGAGCUGUAAGUAAGCUUUGAUCCAGAGAUUUCCGAAUGGGGAAACCCAGCAUGAGUUAUGUCAUGUUAUCGAUAUGUGAAUACAUAGCAUAUCAGAAGGCACACCCGGAGAACUGAAACAUCUUAGUACCCGGAGGAAGAGAAAGAAAAUUCGAUUCCCUUAGUAGCGGCGAGCGAAACGGGAAGAGCCCAAACCAACAAGCUUGCUUGUUGGGGUUGUAGGACACUCUAUACGGAGUUACAAAGGACGACAUUAGACGAAUCAUCUGGAAAGAUGAAUCAAAGAAGGUAAUAAUCCUGUAGUCGAAAAUGUUGUCUCUCUUGAGUGGAUCCUGAGUACGACGGAGCACGUGAAAUUCCGUCGGAAUCUGGGAGGACCAUCUCCUAAGGCUAAAUACUCUCUAGUGACCGAUAGUGAACCAGUACCGUGAGGGAAAGGUGAAAAGCACCCCGGAAGGGGAGUGAAAUAGAACCUGAAACCGUGUGCUUACAAGUAGUCAGAGCCCGUUAAUGGGUGAUGGCGUGCCUUUUGUAGAAUGAACCGGCGAGUUACGAUUUGAUGCAAGGUUAAGCAGUAAAUGUGGAGCCGUAGCGAAAGCGAGUCUGAAUAGGGCGUUUAGUAUUUGGUCGUAGACCCGAAACCAGGUGAUCUACCCUUGGUCAGGUUGAAGUUCAGGUAACACUGAAUGGAGGACCGAACCGACUUACGUUGAAAAGUGAGCGGAUGAACUGAGGGUAGCGGAGAAAUUCCAAUCGAACCUGGAGAUAGCUGGUUCUCUCCGAAAUAGCUUUAGGGCUAGCCUCAAGUGAUGAUUAUUGGAGGUAGAGCACUGUUUGGACGAGGGGCCCCUCUCGGGUUACCGAAUUCAGACAAACUCCGAAUGCCAAUUAAUUUAACUUGGGAGUCAGAACAUGGGUGAUAAGGUCCGUGUUCGAAAGGGAAACAGCCCAGACCACCAGCUAAGGUCCCAAAAUAUAUGUUAAGUGGAAAAGGAUGUGGCGUUGCCCAGACAACUAGGAUGUUGGCUUAGAAGCAGCCAUCAUUUAAAGAGUGCGUAAUAGCUCACUAGUCGAGUGACACUGCGCCGAAAAUGUACCGGGGCUAAACAUAUUACCGAAGCUGUGGAUUGUCCUUUGGACAAUGGUAGGAGAGCGUUCUAAGGGCGUUGAAGCAUGAUCGUAAGGACAUGUGGAGCGCUUAGAAGUGAGAAUGCCGGUGUGAGUAGCGAAAGACGGGUGAGAAUCCCGUCCACCGAUUGACUAAGGUUUCCAGAGGAAGGCUCGUCCGCUCUGGGUUAGUCGGGUCCUAAGCUGAGGCCGACAGGCGUAGGCGAUGGAUAACAGGUUGAUAUUCCUGUACCACCUAUAAUCGUUUUAAUCGAUGGGGGGACGCAGUAGGAUAGGCGAAGCGUGCGAUUGGAUUGCACGUCUAAGCAGUAAGGCUGAGUAUUAGGCAAAUCCGGUACUCGUUAAGGCUGAGCUGUGAUGGGGAGAAGACAUUGAGUCUUCGAGUCGUUGAUUUCACACUGCCGAGAAAAGCCUCUAGAUAGAAAAUAGGUGCCCGUACCGCAAACCGACACAGGUAGUCAAGAUGAGAAUUCUAAGGUGAGCGAGCGAACUCUCGUUAAGGAACUCGGCAAAAUGACCCCGUAACUUCGGGAGAAGGGGUGCUCUUUAGGGUUAACGCCCAGAAGAGCCGCAGUGAAUAGGCCCAAGCGACUGUUUAUCAAAAACACAGGUCUCUGCUAAACCGUAAGGUGAUGUAUAGGGGCUGACGCCUGCCCGGUGCUGGAAGGUUAAGAGGAGUGGUUAGCUUCUGCGAAGCUACGAAUCGAAGCCCCAGUAAACGGCGGCCGUAACUAUAACGGUCCUAAGGUAGCGAAAUUCCUUGUCGGGUAAGUUCCGACCCGCACGAAAGGCGUAACGAUUUGGGCACUGUCUCAACGAGAGACUCGGUGAAAUCAUAGUACCUGUGAAGAUGCAGGUUACCCGCGACAGGACGGAAAGACCCCGUGGAGCUUUACUGUAGCCUGAUAUUGAAAUUCGGCACAGCUUGUACAGGAUAGGUAGGAGCCUUUGAAACGUGAGCGCUAGCUUACGUGGAGGCGCUGGUGGGAUACUACCCUAGCUGUGUUGGCUUUCUAACCCGCACCACUUAUCGUGGUGGGAGACAGUGUCAGGCGGGCAGUUUGACUGGGGCGGUCGCCUCCUAAAAGGUAACGGAGGCGCUCAAAGGUUCCCUCAGAAUGGUUGGAAAUCAUUCAUAGAGUGUAAAGGCAUAA